rnacentral:rRNA from 1 species
AUGUGUUCCGAGUCCUCGUCACAUGGACCCGAUGAGUUCUUAGCUGAGGUUCAGAGCUUGACAAAGGUGUAUCACAGGAAUCUAGUAUCAUUGGUUGGUUUCUGCUGGGAGAAAGAUCAUUUGGCACUGGUUUAUGAGUACAUGUCUCAAGGCAAUCUUUAUGAUCAUCUGAGAGGUUUGUCCAUUGCAAACGUAACCACUGAUUACGUGAUUAAGAGAGAACAACUGUGUAGCGGUCUCAGAUCGCAUACAAUUUCUGUGCAUUGUUCAAGACAUUGUCUCAAUUCCGAAGUAGUUUUCGGCUAUCUACGUCUCUACCUUCUGCAGUGCAUGCAUAUUUCUAGAGGCUGCGUGACAAAGAGAAAGUCUUGA